UAUUCUCACUCGCCAGCUGUCAUCAAAUGUAGUCAAGCUAGCCAUAAAUUCUGACAGCUCAAUCGUCAUUAAACUCAAAUACAGCGAUACGUUUCUUUCUCUUGGUUUCAUACCAACUUUGAGAAAUAACGAGGAGCGCACACAAUGUAUUUUGUCCAGGGAAGUGCUUAGUAAUGAGACACUCACAUUAAAAUAACACAUCCUGACCAAACAUCCACAGCAUGAUGGUAAACCCAGGGAGGUCUUUCAGAGCAGGGCUGAAUGCUUCAGGAAACAUCGCUUCGACAGUGGAAAAGCCGGUGGUGGCUGGCCCGCUCCAGGAGUCUGAGGUGCGGGAGGUUCCUCCACCCCCUCUGGACAUCGUGGGGGACCCGGCGUACUCCGUUCGAUCCAUACUGGAUUCGAGACGUCGGGCCUUCAGUACCUCAUGGACUGGGAGGGGUAUAGUCCGGAGUUGAUAGAAUGAUUUAUUUCAGCUUUUAUUUCUUUCAUCACAUUCUCAGUAGGGAAGAAGUUUACAUACACUCAAUUAGUAUUUGGUAGCAUUGCCUUUUAAUUUUUUUUACUUGGGUCAAACGUUUCGAGUAGCCUUCCACGAACUUCCCACAAUAAGUUGGGUGAAUUGUCCCAUUCCUCCUGACAGAGCUGGUGUAACUGAGUCAGGUUUGUAGGCCUCCUUGCUCGCACACGCUUUUUCAGUUCUGGCCACACAUUUUCUAUGGGAUUGAGGUCAGGGCUUUGUGAUGACCACUCCAAUACCUUGACUUUGUUGUCCUUAAACCAUUUUGCCACAACUUUGGAAGUAUGCUUGGGGUCAUUGUCCAUUUGGAAGACCAAUUUGCGACCAAGCUGUAACUGAUGUCUUGAGAUGUUGCUUCAAUAUAUCCACAUAUAGUUCCUGCCUCAUGAUGCCAUCUAUUUUGUGAAAGGCACCAGUCCCUCCUGCAGCAAAUGAUGAUGAAAACAUGAUGCUGCCACCCCCGUGCUUCACGGUUGGGAUGGUAUUCUUCGGCUUGCAAGCCUCCCCCUUCUUCCCUAAACAUAACAAUGGUCAUUAUGGCCAAACAGUCCUAUUUUUGUUUCAUCAGACCAGAGGACAUUUCUCCAAAAAGUCUCCAAAAAGUACGAUCUUUGUCCCCAUGCGCAGUUGCAAACCAUAGUCUGGCUUUUUAUGGCGGUUUUGGAGCAGUGGCUUCUUCCUUGCUGAGCGACCUUUCAGGUUAUGUUGAUAUAGGACUCGUUUUACUGUAGAUAUAGAUACUUUUGUACCUGUUUCCUCCAGCAUCUUCACAACGUCCUUUGCUGUUGUUCUGGGAUUGAUUUGCACUUUUUGCACCAAAGUGUGUUCAUCUCUAGGAGAAAGGUGUCUUCUUCCUGAGCGGUGUGAUGGCUGCAUGGUCCCAUGGUGUUUAUACUUGUGGACUAUUAUUUGUUUAGAUGAAGGUGGUACCUUCAGGUGUUUGGAAAUUGCUCCCAGGGAUGAACCAGACUUGUGGAGGUCUACCAAAAAAAUUCUGAGGUCUUGGCUGAUUUCUUUUGAUUUUCCCAUGGUGUCAAGCAACGAGGCACUGAGUUUGAAUUGAGGCCUUAAAAUACAUCUACACCUCCAAUUGACUCAAAUGAUGUCAAUUAGCCUAUCAGAAGCUUCUAAAGCCAUGACAUCAUUUUCUGGAAUUUUCCAAGCUGUCAAUUUUCCAAGGCACAGUCAACUUAGUGUAUGUAGACUUCUGACCCACUGUAAUUGUGAUACAGUGAAAUAAUCUGUCUAACAUUUGUUGUGAAAAGUACUUGUGCCAUACACAAAGUAAUGUCCUAACCGACUUGCCAAAACUAUAAUUUGAAGUUUGUGAAGUGGUUGAAAAUCGACUUUUAAUGACUCCAACCUAAGUGUAUGUAAACUUCUGACUUCAACUGUAGCUGUGCAGCGACGCUCCCCAUCCAUCCUGACAGAGCUUGAGAGGAUCUGCAGAGAAGAAUGGGAGAAACUCCCAAAUACAGGUGUGCCAAGCUUGUAGCAUGAUACCCAAAAAUACUUGAGGCUGUAAUCGCUGCCAAAGGUGCUUCAACAAAGUACUGAGUAAAGGGUCUGAAUGCUUAUGUAAUUUUUAAAAACAUUUGCUAACAUUUCUAAAAAACUUUUUUUUGCUUUGUCGUUAUGGGGUAUUGUGUGUAGAAUGAUGAGGGGGGAAAAAAACAAUUUAAUCCAUUUUAGAAUAAGGUUGUAAUUUAACAAAUGUGGAAAAAGUCAAGGGCUCUGAAUUUUUUCAGAAUGCGGUGUAAGAAUGUUUUUAAAUGGGGAAAAAAUAAACAUGAAUAGCUAUUUAUAUUAUUAUAUUUAAUUGUUAUUUGUCUAUAUUGCAUGUGUUUUAUGCAUAAGGGCAGUGAAAAGUACCAAUAUUUAUGUAUAGUUGCAUGUUUUCAUAAGCGUAAAUUGGGUCCCAGGCUGAAAAGGUUUAAGAACCCCUGAUUUAGAGAUGACAUAACAACCAUUCAAUGGUGUUGUUCAUGCCUCCGCGAUACAGCUAUUUUUAUAAAAAAUAUUUUUUUAAAUAGAAGAAACAUUUUGAUGUUGCUACGGCAACCAAUUAUUUCACAGAGACGAUUUCAGAGUACUCUCGUCUGUGUGCCAAAGUGCAGAAUAAAUUAUGAAUUUACAAAUGCUCAACACCUGUUGAAUAUAGCCGGUGUCAGUAAACGUUGGCAAAAAAAAGCGUAAUUAAAUUGUUGCCAGCACGGUUACAGUCACCAACGCUCUAGAUAACAUGAAAACUGCCUAACCAGCUUUUCUACGAUGAGUAACAUGAUCAGAGUGAGGUGUUCUCCCAUUUGUGUCUGGAAGUAGCUCGCAAACUAGCCAAAUGGACAAUCUGACAACGCUCUGAAUUUACAAACGUCCAGAGCGCACUCUGAGCUGAGCGCACUCCAUAUUGAAUUUACCAACACACCACUUCUCUGAACAAAUGUGUGGAAUGUUGCUCCAGGUAUCUAGAAACUAGCCUGGGUACCAGUCUGUUUGUGCUAACAUUCCACUCGUUGUACUCUUUAUCCUAUGCCAAACAUGACUAGCUAGAAACCGAGGAUGGAGACACUUUGUUCUGCUCCUAGUCAUCUCAUCUGUCCAAAUAUAGUUAGAAUGCCCCCCUCUGUUCAAAUAUAGAUCUAUUCUCCCCCUCCGUUUAACUAUAGUUAGAAUGCCCCCCUCUGUUCAAAUAUAGGUCUAUUCUCCCCCUCUGUUUAAAUAUAGUUAGAAUGCCCCCCUCUGUUCAAAUAUAGGUCUAUUCUCCCCCUCUGUUUAAAUAUAGUUAGAAUGCCCCCCUCUGUUCAAAUAUAGGUCUAUUCUCCCCCUCCGUUUAAAUAUAGUUAGAAUGCCCCCCUCUGUUCAAAUAUAGGUCUAAUGUCCUAGCCUGGGUACUAGUCUCUUUAGUUAAUCCACUCUGUGCCAAAGUGAAUGGCUUUUACUGCCAUCUUGAAAUAUGAGCAUUUUAUUAUUAAUGAGCUCGAGGAGAACAUAGGAGUUGAUCCUGAUUUGAUCACCCUCAAAGCUAUCCUCCAAUAACAAUGAUUUUAUGCAAAUUUUGGAACUCUAUCCUUUUUUAUCUCCCCAGAACACC
ensembl:lncRNA